GUAAACUAGUCACAAUAAUUAGGCUAAGACUGGGUCAUGCACAGGUAAAUGAAACUUUAUUCAGAAUAAACUGCUACUUUACUGAAAAAUGUCUCAAGUGUACAUUGAAUGUGAAAGAAAGUCUUCAGCACCUAAUCUUUGAAUGCCCAACAUAUGAUAGCUUCAGAGAACCAUUAAUACAACAUUUAAAGGAAAAGAAAGUAAGGCCACCAUUCUAUCUCAAAGAGCUGUUGGGUCUGAAUCCUUUUCGGAGUAGAAAGUCGCCUGGAGGACCUCAGGCGUGAAGAAAGUCUGAUCAGUGGCCCCCAACCAUUUCCAUUGAUCCUGUAACCUAAAAGCCUUUCCUAUAGCUUGUCCCCCUCUGUGUGUAAAUAACUGAACACUACAGGAACAAUUGAUUGAUAACAAAGUCAGGUUAUAGGCAAAUACUAACAUUUAUGUGGAAUUGUAAUUAACUUCCCCUUCCCAUGAAAAGAAACAGUGUGAAAGUGAAAUAAAAAAAAAAAAAAAAAAAAAAA